UCAUAACCGUGCGAAGGUAGCAUAAUAAAUUGUUCUCUAAAUAGGGACUAGUAUGAAAGGCACCACGAGGGCUUAACUGUCUCCCUUUUCCAAUUAAUGAAACUGAUCUUCUCGUGAAGAAGCGAGAAUAAAAAUAUAAGACGAGAAGACCCCAUGGAGCUUUAAACUCAUCAUCACUUACUUUUUACCACACCAAUACAUACAGUAAAAUUGUUACCUGAGAGUUUUCGGCUGGGGUGACCCUGGAGCAAAACAAAUCCUCCAGGAUGAACGGAAUAANAACCCUAAUCAAAGAGCUACAGCUCUAAGAAUCAAUAUAUUGACAUNAUUUGAUCCAAUCACUUGAUCAACGAACCAAGUUACCCUGGGGAUAACAGCGCAAUCCAUUUCAAGAGCCCCUAUCGACAAAUGGGUUUACGACCUCGAUGUUGGAUCGGGGUAUCCCAGUGGCGCAGCCGCUACUAAAGGUUCGUUUGUUCAACGAUUAAUAACCCCACGUGAUCUG
rnacentral:rRNA from 1 species